rnacentral:rRNA from 1 species
UACAGAGGUCCCAAGCGUUGUUCGGAUUCAUUGGGCGUAAAGGGUGCGUAGGCGGCGCGGGAUGUCGGGUGUGAAAUCUCGGAGCUUAACUCCGAAACUGCAUUCGAUACUGCCGUGCUUGAGGACUGGAGAGGAGACUGGAAUUUACGGUGUAGCGGUGAAAUGCGUAGAUAUCGUAAGGAAGACCAGUGGCGAAGGCGGGUCUCUGGACAGUUCCUGACGCUGAGGCACGAAGGCCAGGGGAGCAAACGGG